GGACGACGUGGAUAAAGGGAAAUCGAGAAAACUAGAUUUGAACUUAAAGUCCAUAUAUGGCCAUUACAUGUAACUAAAGAGAUGGUGACGGCGACGGUGGAAACGGCACGACUGACGCUGGAAGAGACGCGAAUAUGAUCGGUGGGAAGAGACGCGAAGGUGAUUGGUGGGAAGAGACACGAAGAUGAUCGACGGCGCUGACUCUGGGUGGACCUCCGAUGGCCGUUCAACGGCGAACGACGGUGGAGUCGUGAAGGGGCUUUGGUCGUUGGGAGGGAGAGUUUCUCUCUCUAGGUUUCAUUCUCGCAAUCUGAAAAUGAAUUUGAAUUUGGGAAAUUGUUUGCUUUCAUUUUCUGCCCGUG
rnacentral:lncRNA from 1 species